rnacentral:rRNA from 1 species
GACGAACGCUGGCGGCGUGCUUAACACAUGCAAGUCGAACGGGCCUGUCUUCUUUUUUGGGGGUGGGUUGAGUGGCGAACGGGUGAGUAUCACGUGAGUAACCUGCCCUUCGGUCCUGGAUAACCGCCUGAAAGGGCGGCUAAUACGGGGUGGUCCGGUUGGUCCGCAUGGGCUGGUCGGGAUAGAUUCACUGUUUUUGGUGUUUCGGCGGGGGAUGGGCUCGCGGCCUAUCAGCUUGUUGGUGGGGUGAUGGCCUACCAAGGCGGUGACGGGUAGCCGGCCUGAGAGGGUGGGCGGCCACACUGGGACUGAGAUACGGCCCAGACUCCUGCGGGAGGCAGCAGUGGGGGGUAUUGCACAAUGGGCGGAAGCCUGAUGCAGCGACGUCGCGUGAGGGAGGGAGGCCUUCGGGUUGUGAACCUCUGUUUCCGGUGGUGAAGGCCCUGUCCGUGUGGUGGGGUUGACGGUAGCCGGGGAUGAAGCGCCGGCUAACUACGUG